AAUGUUCACUUUCUCUUCUUUCCCCUUCUUUUCUCUCCAAAUCAUCCACUCCCAAACGAACGGCUGAGAGAAAGAGAGUGUGAGACUGAGCGGUUGGGAGUAAUAAAAUAAAAUAAAGAACAACCCUAAUUCUCGAUCCUCGUCAUUGCCGUCAACUUGGAUCGGAGAGAGAUCGAUCACCUCGCCGGCGCCGUCGAUUGUGAUUUGGGGAGCGGAGUUGUCAGCUGAAGCUCGGGAGAAGGUAAAAUUUCUGAUUUUGCAUUAGAUAAAUUGUUUAAUCACCUAAUUUCCUCAAAGUGUAAAUUGUAUAUUGAAUUGGAGUUAAUUUGUUCUUAAUCCGGUAUUGGAUUCAAUUUCUACCAGAUUUCGCUGGUUAUGAUUUUAGAUGUCAUAUACUUUACUAGGAUUGAAUUUAUAUUGCUUUAUUUUGAGGUCUAAUGCUGAAAGUCUAAAGAUGGUACGAAGAUUUUUUGAGAAAGUGUUCAGUUGCAAUUCAGUCGCGGCAUUUAGCUCUUAUUUGAAUGAAGUCAGUUGCUAACUUAAAGACUGGGAUUUAGCAUAUAUAUUAGUAAGAUUAACAUUUCCUUGGAUUUGUUGAAGUUAUGCUAUGAAAUGGAAGUUAUGCUAUUGAUGCUCACAAUCUGAGCUGGUAGAAAUUGCUUUUGCACCAUGGAAUUUGUGUAAGGUUAGCAGAUCAUGUGGAACAUUCUUGUAGUAAAGUGAUUUUGGGAUAUGAGAGCGUCAGUUAUUCAUUUAUGAGAUGUAAGUAUUAAUGGCUGCCUGCUCCAAGUGUUUAUGUGGUGUUAUUAUAUUUCUAAUUGUGGAUUGACUACAUUUAUGUACAUCUAUUCUUGAUUUUAGUAGAUCUACAAGCUUCAUUAGAUUUCCAGAUGUCCUGAAUAGAUUUCUUUUAGAUACAGAAGUUCUUACCUCUAAAAGUUGAUGUUCAUAUGGUUUUCAAUAAAGGAAAUUAUGUGAAAAUUUUAUUUUGUGUUUAUUUUCAUGUGCUUCCCAGUUUUGCAAUAUUGGAUAUCUCAAAUUUUACUAUAUAUACAUAAUUCCUUUUUAAGAGUCUUUUCGGUUCAAAAUUUCUGAACAUCAUGAUAACUGCAAUGGAGGAUGUGAUUUGCUGUGUGUAAUGCUUUAAGAUAUUAAUAACAAGGUUCAUGUUCUCGUUGUUGCUUUAUUAAAGAUAUGAUGAAAAGAAAGAUCUUUGUCAAACUUUUACUGUUCCUCAUUUUUAAUGUUAUUCCGUAUGUGAGGGGUAUGAUUUUAUAGAAAUUGUGGAAUUGUCAUCGAAGGCAUGAUAAAGUAAAUAGGAUUUUUUUGGGUUGAAAGUACUUUGAUGUAGUGUUUUAUGCCUUUGAAGAUAUAAGCUUUCAUGUAGGGCUAUGUAAUUACAAAUUCACAGCAUACUGGUGCAUUAUGACAUUAGUUGAAAAUAAUUUACAGCAUAAGCAACUCUGCGCUUUGUUUCAACUGACCAGCACUCCACUUCAGGCAUUGCAUUAAGCUCCACAAGGCCUUUGCAAUUUACUGUGCCUAGAUUCUUUAAUUUCUAUAAUAAGAAGUAGGAGUACAUACUCUCUAUUACAUUUCUGAUAUUUAAUCAGUUCUGUUUGCUGGUUAAGAUACUUCUCCUUUUUUGCCAUUGACCAUAAACUUGACCAUUGGUUGGAGUAGAAGUUUGCUUGUGGUAUCAGUAUGUGAUUUACCUUUUAGGGAGAUAAAGGUGAAAGAUGCCUAUCUUGUUGGUGUUAAUCUUACGUGGUAGCCUUUUUAGCACAGCUCUAGACAAAUGGCUGGUACUACUUAUUUUUUGAGACUUACAGAAUUAGUUGUUCAUAUGAUAGGUUAACAAAGCUUAAUCAGCUAAAAUUUGCUUGAUGACUAUAUGUUGCAUCUAAUGCAUUAUUUUAUGCCUAAGUGCCUUAUUUUCAAAGGGGCCCUACUGCCUAGAGCAUUCCACACCAAACAAAGAGAAAAGGAAGUGAUAAAAGGGAAAGAGAGGUAUGCGUCUUGUCAAAUGCAAUCAUGGAUUACAUGAUUAUACCUUGAAGUAUUGAGCGAGUUGCCUGGACAAGGAAUCUGGAGAUGCGGUUUCUGUUGACUAGUUCAUAUGAAUAGUCAUUACUCAUUUCUGUGUUAGACAUUUUGGUGAUGGAUGCAUUAUUAAGCAUGCUAGAAUCAAUAUUGUUGUGAACAAAUUAAGACUUGCUUUCC